GACGAACGCUGGCGGCGUGCUUAACACAUGCAAGUCGAACGGUGAAAGAAGAGCUUGCUCUUCUGGAUCAGUGGCGAACGGGUGAGUAACACGUGAGUAACCUGCCCCAGACUCUGGAAUAAGCGCUGGGGACGGCGUCUAAUACCGGAUACGAGACAUAGCUGCAUGGCGACUAUCUGGAAAGGUUUUCGGUCUGGUAUGGACUCGCGGCCUAUCAGCUUGUUGGUGAGGUAACGGCUCACCAAGGCAACGACGGGUAGCCGGCCUGAGAGGGCGACCGGCCACACUGGGCCUGAGACACGGCGCAGACUCCUACGGGAGGCAGCAGUGGGGAAUCUUGCACAAUGGGCGAAAGCCUGAUGCAGAGACGCCGCGUGCGGGAUGACGGCCUUCGGGUUGUAAACCUCUUUCAGCAGGGAAGAAGCGAAAGUGACGGUACCUGCAGAAGAAGCCCCGGCUAACUACGUG
rnacentral:rRNA from 1 species